rnacentral:rRNA from 1 species
CCUACGGGCUGCAGCAGUGGGGAAUAUUGCACAAUGGGCGCAAGCCUGAUGCAGCCAUGCCGCGUGUAUGAAGAAGGCCUUCGGGUUGUAAAGUACUUUCAGCGAGGAGGAGGGCAUCAAGGUUAAUAACCUUGAUGAUUGACGUUACUCGCAGAAGAAGCACCGGCUAACUCCGUGCCAGCAGCCGCGGUAAUACGGAGGGUGCAAGCGUUAAUCGGAAUUACUGGGCGUAAAGCGCACGCAGGCGGUCUGCCAAGUCGGAUGUGAAAUCCCCGGGCUCAACCUGGGAACUGCAUUCGAAACUGGCAGGCUAGAGUCUUGUAGAGGGGGGUAGAAUUCCAGGUGUAGCGGUGAAAUGCGUAGAGAUCUGGAGGAAUACCGGUGGCGAAGGCGGCCCCCUGGACAAAGACUGACGCUCAGGUGCGAAAGCGUGGGGAGCAAACAGGAUUAGAUACCCCUGCAGUC